rfam:Operophtera brumata OBRT01_Sc01788, whole genome shotgun sequence.
CGUUCUAUGGCCGAAUUGGUAAAGGCAUCGCGAGGUUGCGGGUUCGAGUCCCGCUGGAACGA